GUAAAACUCUCUAGACCCUGCCAAAACAGGGAACUCUUGAAUUCAUAUUUUCCCCAUUACAAGGACUCAACAUCUUGUGACCCACUCCUUCUUCCUGGGGACAUUUUACAGAAAGGGCUCUCAGCCUCCUCACCACCUAGCCAUGCUCUCUGUGACCAUUCUACUGCUUGGAGUGCUCUUCACACUGAAAGGAAGCGGAGCCCAGUCGGUCACCCAGAUUGACAGCCAUGUUGCUGUCUCUGAAGGAGCCCCCCUGGAGCUGAGAUGCAACUAUUCCUACCGUGCAACACUUUAUCCCUACUGGUAUGUACUAUACCCCAACCAGGGCCUCCAGCUUCUCCUCAAAUACUUGGUAAGGGACCCAUUGGUUAAAGGCAUCAAAGGCUUCGAGGCUGAGUUUCGGAAGAGUGAAAACUCCUUCCACCUGAAGAAAGCCUCAGCCCAUUGGAGCGACACAGCUGUGUACUUCUGUGCUGUCAGUGGCACAGUGCCUGGGCUGCAGGAAAAGCUGAGCACAAACCUCCUGAAACAUAGAGUGUCUGUGACUCAAGGGCUCAGCCUGACCUGUUUUCAGUAA